rnacentral:tRNA from 1 species
CGGAAUGUAGCCCAGUGGCCAGGGCACCUGCUUUGGGAGCAGGAGAUCGGAGGUUCGAGUCCUCCCAUUCCGACUA